CGGACGGGUGAGGAAUACAUCGGAAUCUACUNUGUCGUGGGGGAUAACGUAGGGAAACUUACGCUAAUACCGCAUACGUCCUACGGGAGAAAGCAGGGGACCUUCGGGCCUUGCGCUAUCAGAUGAGCCUAGGUCGGAUUAGCUAGUUGGUGAGGUAAUGGCUCACCAAGGCGACGAUCCGUAACUGGUCUGAGAGGAUGAUCAGUCACACUGGAACUGAGACACGGUCCAGACUCCUACGGGAGGCAGCAGGC
rnacentral:rRNA from 1 species